rnacentral:rRNA from 1 species
AAUAUUGGGCGUAAGGGCUCGCAGGCGGUUUCUUAAGUCUGAUGUGAAAGCCCCCGGCUCAACCGGGGAGGGUCAUUGGAAACUGGGAAACUUGAGUGCAGAAGAGGAGAGUGGAAUUCCACGUGUAGCGGUGAAAUGCGUAGAGAUGUGGAGGAACACCAGUGGCGAAGGCGACUCUCUGGUCUGUAACUGACGCUGAGGAGCGAAAGCGUGGGGAGCGAACAGGAUUAGAUACCCUGGUAGUCCACGCCGUAAACGAUGAGUGCUAAGUGUUAGGGGGUUUCCGCCC